rnacentral:rRNA from 1 species
GACGAACGCUGGCGGCGCGCCUAACACAUGCAAGUCGAACGGAGCUGAGAGAAGCUUGCUUUUCUUAGCUUAGUGGCGAACGGGUGAGUAACGCGUGAGUAACCUGCCCUGGAGUGGGGGACAACAGUUGGAAACGACUGCUAAUACCGCAUAAGCCCACGAUCCGGCAUCGGCUUGAGGGAAAAGGAUUUAUUCGCUUCAGGAUGGACUCGCGUCCAAUUAGCUAGUUGGUGAGGUAACGGCCCACCAAGGCGACGAUUGGUAGCCGGACUGAGAGGUUGAGCGGCCACAUUGGGACUGAGACACGGCCCAGACUCCUACGGGAGGCAGCAGUGGGGGAUAUUGCACAAUGGGGGAGACCCUGAUGCAGCGACGCCGCGUGGAGGAAGAAGGUUUUCGGAUUGUAAACUCCUGUAGUUAGGGACGAUAAUGACGGUACCUAACAAGAAAGCACCGGCUAACUACGUG